rnacentral:misc_RNA from 1 species
GAUGAAGAACGUAGCGAAAUGCGAUACGGAAUGUGAAUUGCAGAAUUCAGUGAAUCAUCGAGUCUUUGAACGCACAUUGCGCCCCCUGGUAUUCCGGGGGGCAUGCCUGUCCGAGCGUCAUUGCUGCCCUCAAGCACGGCUUGUGUGUUGGGCCUCCGUCCUCCUCCCGGGGGACGGGCCCGAAAGGCAGCGGCGGCACCGCGUCCGGUCCUCGAGCGUAUGGGGCUUCGUCACCCGCUCUUGUAGGCCCGGCCGGCGCUUGCCGACACAUCAAUCUUUUUUCCAGGUUGACCUCGGAUCAGGUAGGGAUACCCGCUGAACUUAAGCAUAUCAAUAAGCGGAGGA